UUUCCUUAGUAACGGCGAGUGAACAGGAAAAAGCUCAAAGUUGGAACCUGUUUGGCCUAGCUAAACCGGAUUGUAAACUGUAGAAGUGUUUUCCAGGCAAGCCGGACCGAUAAGUCCUUUGGAACAGGGCAUCAUAGAGGGUGAGAAUCCCGUCUUCGGUCUGAGCAUUUGCCUUUUGCGAUACACUUUCAAAGAGUCAGGUUGUUUGGGAAUGCAGCCUAAAUUGGGUGGUAAAUCUCACCUAAAGCUAAAUAUUGGCGAGAAACCGAUAGCGAACAAGUACCGUGAGGGAAAGAUGAAAAGAACUUUGAAAAGAGAGUUAAACAGUAUGUGAAAUUGUUAAAAGGGAACCGUUUGGAGCCAGACUGGCUUGUCUGUAAUCAGUCUAAGCUUCGGCUUGCAUGCACUUGCAGGCUAUGCCUGCCAACGACAAUUUGGCUUGAGGGAAAAAACUAGGGGAAAUGUGGCCCAUUCGUGGGUGUUAUAGUCCCUUAGAAAAUACCUUGGGCUGGAUUGAGGUACGCAGCGAAUGCUAUUUGGCGAGUUGGCUGGGAAUAUUUUCCGAGGUGCUCCGGUACUGAGGUUGAUAUUUCCAGUUACACUUCUAUUCGCUUAGGUUGUUGGCUUAAUGGCUCUAAAUGAC
rnacentral:rRNA from 1 species